UACGAACGCUGGCGGCGUGCUUAACACAUGCAAGUCGAACGAUGAUGCCCAGCUUGCUGGUUGGNAUUAGUGGCGAACGGGUGAGUAACACGUGAGUAACCUGCCCCUGACUCUGGGAUAAGCGUUGGAAACGACGUCUAAUACUGGAUAUGACUGCCGGCCGCAUGGUCUGGUGGUGGAAAGAUUUUUUGGUUGGGGAUGGACUCGCGGCCUAUCAGCUUGUUGGUGAGGUAAUGGCUCACCAAGGCGACGACGGGUAGCCGGCCUGAGAGGGUGACCGGCCACACUGGGACUGAGACACGGCCCAGACUCCUACGGGAGGCAGCAGUGGGGAAUAUUGCACAAUGGGCGAAAGCUGAUGCAGCAACGCCGCGUGAGGGAUGACGGCCUUCGGGUUGUAAACCUCUUUUAGUAGGGAAGAAGCGAAAGUGACGGUACCUGCAGAAAAAGCACCGGCUAACUACGUGCCAGCAGCCGCGGUAAUACGUAGGGUGCAAGCGUUGUCCGGAAUUAUUGGGCGUAAAGAGCUCGUAGGCGGUUUGUCGCGUCUGCUGUGAAAUCCCGAGGCUCAACCUCGGGCUUGCAGUGGGUACGGGCAGACUAGAGUGCGGUAGGGGAAUUGGAAUUCCUGGUGUAACGGUGGAAUGCCCAGAUAUCAGGAGGAACACCGAUUGGCGAAGGCAGAUCUCUUGGGCCGUAA
rnacentral:rRNA from 1 species